rnacentral:rRNA from 1 species
GAUGAACGCUGGCGGCGUGCCUAAUACAUGCAAGUCGAGCGAACAGAUAAGGAGCUUGCUCCUUUGACGUUAGCGGCGGACGGGUGAGUAACACGUGGAUAACCUACCUAUAAGACUGGGAUAACUUCGGGAAACCGGAGCUAAUACCGGAUAAGAUUUUGAACCGCAUGGUUCAAUAGUGAAAGACGGCCUUGCUGUCACUUAUAGAUGGAUCCGCGCCGUAUUAGCUAGUUGGUAAGGUAACGGCUUACCAAGGCAACGAUACGUAGCCGACCUGAGAGGGUGAUAGGCCACACUGGAACUGAGACACGGUCCAGACUCCUACGGGAGGCAGCAGUAGGGAAUCUUCCGCAAUGGGCGAAAGCCUGACGGAGCAACGCCGCGUGAGUGAUGAAGGUCUUCGGAUCGUAAAACUCUGUUAUCAGGGAAGAACAAACGUGUAAGUAACUGUGCACGUCUUGACGGUACCUGAUCAGAAAGCCACGGCUAACUACGUG